AUGGACUUUGUUUUAGGUUUACCUCGAACAAAGAAGGGGAGGUAUAGCAUAUUUGUUGUCGUGGAUAGAUUUUCAAAAAUGGCACACUUUAUACCAUGUCAUAAAAGUGAUGGUGCUGCUAAUGUUGCUGAUUUGUUCUUUCGUGAAAUUAUUUGCUUGCAUGGUAUGCCAAAUACUAUUGUUUCAUAUCGUGAUACUAAGUUUCUUAGCCACUUUUGGAGAUGUUUAUGGGCUAAGUUGGGGACUAAACUACUUUUUAGUACUAAAUGUCAUCCCCAAACUGAUGGACAAACUGAAGUAGUCAAUAGAACAUUGUCUACUAUGCUUAGGGUUGUUUUGAAGAAUAACAAGAAAAUGUGG
rnacentral:rRNA from 1 species